GACGUCAUGAUCGUGAUUUAAAAAAAAAAAAUUAAUACUGUACAAAUAGAUCUAGAUCUAGUUAACAUUUCCAAAUCUAGAUCUUAAUGUGUGAAAAGUUGGGCUUCUCAAAAUUUGAGAAACAUAGGUUGUGAGUUAGAGAGACUUGAUUCAGGAUAUUUUUUUAAUCAAACUGUUACAGCAUAAAAACAUCUGCAUAAGGAAAGGCUUGGUGUGAUGUGACGCUACACACAGUGUGAACCUGGCCAAUGACAGUAUGUACUUUGAAAAACUCAUGUUUUAUGCCUAUGUCAGCAAAGUCAGCAAAGGCAUCUUCGUAUGUGGACUAUGUACAUGUGUAUCUACUCUGAAAAACUGUUUUAUGCCUGUGGAAUCGGCAAAGGCAUCGUCGUAUGGGGACUGUAUACAUGUCUUGAUGGACUUAGUACUAUUGGUUGGUGAAACUAUUACACUGUACUAUACUAUUUUAUUGUCAAUGACAUGAGUGAUGAUUGGAACAAUGUAUACCGGAUAUUUUCUUACCAAUAACUGUAUUGGAACUGUACAUAUUGUUUUCUUGGUGUCAACAUUCAACUACAGUGUGAACUUUGUUACAUAGGAACAUGGACAAUAUGGAAAUAUGUAAUGACACAAGAUGCGUAGAAGUUGAGGUUAAUCGGGUUUUUCCAUAGUGACGUGACGAGUAAUUAAAAAGUAGGAGAACGGAACAAGAAGAAUAACGGACAAGACGCCUGAGAGGACGACGCUAGGCUAGCGACGACAGAGGACUGUGCCCUUUUUAUUGUUCAUUAAAUUGUUGAAGUUA